rfam:Gorilla gorilla gorilla genomic chromosome, chr4, whole genome shotgun sequence
GCUGGGCGUGGUGGCCCACGCCUGUAGUCCUAGCUACACAGGAGGCUGAGACAGGAGGAUUGCUUGAGCCCAGGAGUUUAAGGUUACAGUGAACUAUGAUUGCACCACUGUACUCUAGCCUUGGUGACAGAGCAAGACCUUGUCUUUU